GGGAUGUGAUGAGUGGUCUAUGCUCGCUAAAACUAUGCGAGAUGGGUGUCCGCUCCAAAGCCUGUUACGACAAGUGGGCACUCCCAUUCAUACCAAUCUGAUCCC